UCAGACGAUGCGUCAUGCAUAUCAAUAAGCGGAGGAAAAGAAACUAACAAGGAUUCCCUUAGUAACGGCGAGUGAAGCGGGAAGAGCUCAAAUUUGAAAUCUUCAAGGUUUUACCUUGACGAAUUGUAGUUUAAAGAAGUGUUUUCUGUUGAAGUUUUGGUAAAAGUUCUUUGGAAUAGGACAUCAUAGAGGGUGAGAAUCCCGUAUUUGACCAUUAUUUUCAGCUGUGUGAUACACUUUCAAAGAGUCGGAUUGUUUGGGAAUGCAGUCCAAAAUGGGUGGUAAAUUUCAUCUAAAGCUAAAUAUUGGCGAGAGACCGAUAGCGAACAAGUACCGUGAGGGAAAGAUGAAAAGAACUUUGAAAAGAGAGUUAAACAGUACGUGAAAUUGUCAAAAGGGAAGCGUUUGACACCAGUGUUGUUUUCUCGAAAAUCAAUUAAAAAUGAGUUAGAUUUUGUAUGUGUAUUGACCUUAACAGCUUGCAUUUCAAUUUUCUUGCUUUUUUUAAUGCACUUUUCGUUUAACAAGUCAACAUCAGUUUCUUUCGUCUUAAAAAGGUCAUUGGAAGGUGGCUUUCUUUUCGGAGAAAGUGUUUAUAGCCUUUGGCCUCUGCAAUCGGAGAGACUGAGGUCUGCAGCGUAGACUCUUCGGGGUUAGAUACAUUUGUGCUAAGUUAUAGCUUUUUAUAGACAACUUGUUGACUAUGAUUAGUCUUGUAGCUUACUCGCUUAUGCUAUUUUACCUACGCUUAGGAUGUUGAGUCGUAGAGCACGCAG
rnacentral:rRNA from 1 species